AGUUAAAAAUGUAGUGUAUUGUUAUAUAUGAUUUUCGCCAAAGUAAAACAGCCUUGUUUAAUAGUUGUGAAUGGGAGCCACCCUUGGCCAUAUGGUGUACUGCAGAUCUGCUGCGUGUAGUCUUGUGUUGCUUCCCUACCCGAUCAGAGUAGCCGUAUGCUUUUGAUCUGAUGCUGUACGUGGUACACCGAAGCCUGAAGGCAAUGUUUUGAUUUAUUUUCUUAAAGGUAUGUGGCUCCGUAAUGUAAAUAGGUUCUAGUGAAGUGCUGUAACUUUAUGCAGUUUAGUUAUGCCCAUUCUAUAUGGGAAGUUAAAUGUCAUGAUUCAGAUAAAAUUAUGCAUUUUCUAUUAUUGAGAGAGUAAUUAGCAGAGUAGCCGUAUGCUUUUGAUCUGAUGCUGUACGUGGUACACCGAAGCCUGAAGGCAAUGUUUUGAUUUAUUUUCUUAAAGGAAAAUAAAAAGGAAGAAAAAUUCAA